UAAAUAUCGAAUGAGUGUGGCGGAGCUUCGAUAUCCGAUAGUGGUUUGUUUACUUUUAGGACCUGCGGGAAAAAAACAGUGGACGCAGUGUAGACAGAGUAUAACUGAGCAGCAACAAAGAACUAUGUUAAUCCAAUCAUUAUAAACAUCUAUGGGUUCUGAUAAGGAGAUAAUGGUUUGAACAACAUUGCAAGAACGUUCAUGAUUACAAAAUGGAGAUUUGAAAUGCUUUUCCAGAUUGGCCAACGUCUACAGGCUAAUAAAUUCAAGUGGACUGGAACUGCUGAUUUUAAACACAAGGCUAUGACAGACUUGAGGUACACUUAGCAACUCCUGCUUAUCUGUUAUGCUUUCCUAUUGCAACAGGACAUGCAUUUUUGUGAUCCAGGGCAUCGAAUAUGUUUAAUUGCAUACCAGGAUAUUCCAUGAUUGCAGAAAAAAAUAAUAAUUUGAAAAAAAUUUAAGGGGGGUUAGUCGCAAAAAUUGGCCCAAAAACACAAAGUGCUCCAUUUCUCGGAAACUAUAAGGAUCACAAGGAUGUACUUUGGUGUAUAAGUAGUGCUCAUUGAUAGUAUUCAGGAUAUACUACUUAACGGACGAAUAUCCUUACAGGAGCCGAGGAAAACAGUUUUUAUCGUAUACAGAAAAUAGGCCAUAGUUCCGAAGUCCUUGCCAGGAGCAGGAUGAAGCUAGUGUCAAAUGAUUCCUCUUUAAAGGGAAUAUCUUUCUGCAAAAGGACAUCCAGAUCGUCCUUGUAGAUCUGGAGAAAAGGCACAUUUUGUAGUUUUGGCCACCUUGUUCGCUCGCCGAGGCUGAAUAUCUUAACGUUAAUGGAUAUUGUAAUAACCCCAUACUUUUUUGAUGGUAACCGAUAGAGUCUCGUCUUGUGAGUGCCGGAAACCAAAAAUAUUGCAAAUGAUCCUGAUGCAGCCGAGCUACAGCCACUCUUCUAUAGAGGAUUGCCAGUGCUUGGCAGCCCUUGGUGAUAUGCAACA